GGGGCUGUUUAAUGGUUUUGACAGAAAUGUUAUUGAUAUGAAUUGCAAGUCGUAAGGCAUGCGUCAAAUCCAAAACAAAAAUAUCUGGAAACAGAAAUCAAUUAGCUUUCGCUUAAUUUAAGAAGGCAGUCUACUAUUUGUUUUUCUUGUGACGAAUAACUAGGCUUUAUAAAGCAAGACAUAUUAUUUAAUUGAUUGUGUUAGAUAAUGAAUUUUAAGCAAUCUAGCUAAAAAUUUAUUUGUUUAUUUUAUGUUUUUAGUGAAGUUAAAAAUAAACUAAACUUGUAGAAGUUUAUAUACAAGCAUUUUUGGACAGGAGUUCAAAUCUCCUCAGCUCCACCA
rnacentral:tmRNA from 1 species